rnacentral:misc_RNA from 1 species
AAAACCUAUAAAUAAUGGCUGUUACGUAGCGUAACGGCCUUUUUUUGAAACUAUAGAUUGAGGUAACCUUAUCUAGUGGUUACUCGCAAUUUCUUUUUUUCCUUACGCAAUGCAUGAGAAGUGCACAAAAGGUAUCAAAAUAAGUGGUGAUGGAACUUAAGCUGGAAUAUAGGGGUAAUAUCUUUCUGUUGCUAACAUGUUGUAUUUGCUUGCUUAAGCCUGUUUAAAAUUGCAAGUGUAACCCAGCACUAUUUAGGAGCUAGAGCUAGGUUUCUGCUGUUGGCACCUAAUUCCUAAAACACAAAAUGCCAUGGUGGAUUUGAGAUUUUUUUGGUUAAAAAUUAAUUUUUUUGCUUUUAUAUGAGCGUCUUGAAUACUUAUUAUGAUAAUGUGUAAUAUAAUUAUGGCAAUAUAACAUUGAAGAUCUAACUUUGUAGGUAGAAAUAGAAACAAGAUAAAUUAUGCUUAUUACUUUUAACUACUAAAAGCAUGGUUUCAGAAAACGGUUUUUACGUUACGUGACGGCCGCUAUUAAUAGAAUUAUUGUUCUGAGUUGAAGGCUUUUAGAAUUAUUGUUUAAAAACUUGUCAUGAUAGAAUUAAAACCAUGAGUAAAAGUGGGUUACAUCAUCUGAUAAAAAAUGAUAUGCAGCUAGUGCCAACACUUGUCAUGAGCAAAAAGUAGCCUAGAAUCUUUGUUGCGAUGUUACUUAAGGUGAAUGUGAUGCAAAUUUAUAAAUUGAAAGGCUUAAUCCAUUGUUCCUUUUCCAUUAUAAAGUAAUUCUAUAAGCCACUUUAUAAAUGUUGAUGUAAUAUACACUUAAAACAUCUCCAAGUUAGGUAUUAAUGCAGCUAUAAAUUUGAUAAAAAUUUAACUGUGUUUUUAUUUUCAUAAACAUUUCAAGAAAGAAGUUGACUGACUACAACUUUGAGAAUCUAUCACAUCCUGAAAAAUAUGGGAACAAGAACUAUGAUGUGGAAACAAAUGAUGUUAUGUGUGCUUUCAUGCCUGUACAAUUUGGCUGACAGGCAGUCAGCUCAUGAUUUGAUUGUACAAAUUAAUACAAUCCUUUAGUUAUCAUGGUUUACCAUUUUAGAGUUCUCUUCUGUGGUUGGCUACUAGUUUCCUUGUUCCUGUAAUGUAAUUGACAAAUACAAUGUUUUCCAUGUGCAGAAUGGAGACAUUGAAGAGACAUCUUCCAUUUUCUGGUCAAGAGGGACUAGAUGAACUCAAGAAAAUUGCUGAGCGGUUUGAGGAAAAGAUUUACACUGCUGCCAUAAGCCAGUCAGAUUAUCUACGGAAAAUAUCUUUGAAGAUGCUUACAAUGGAGUCCAAGUCCCAAAAGCCCCAAGAUCACAAUCAAGGGCAGUCACUUACUAUGCCAUUGCAAGUUAAUCAGUCACGUCAGCAAUUGUUAUCCCAGAACAUUCAGAAUAAUAUUACAUCUCUUGGGUUUCAAAGUUCUCCCAGUUUAACAUCUGCACUGCCUGCUGUUUCUGGUUUAACACAGACUUCUAUACCUAGUGUUGUUGGCCAGAAUCCUAACUUGCAGAGCAUUUCUGGAGUUCCACAGAACACAGCAGGGAAUUCAACAGGACAAGGGGUAACCUCCAAUAUUUUUAACAAUUCUCAGAGACAAAUGGCGGGAAGGCAACAGGUUGUUCCCCAACAGCAGCAACAACAAUCCCAAAAUACUCCGCAAUAUCUUUAUCAGCAACAAUUACAGCAACAACUUAUGAAGCAAAAGAUCCAGCAAGGAAAUCGACCACAUUCACUUGUGCAAUCUCAAAUCCAACAACAGCAACAGCAGCAGCAGCAGCAGCAGCAGCAGAAGAAGAAGAAGAACCAGAGAACUUUUUGAAGGUAGUAGCCAUGAAUGUUGCUGGAAGUGAAGAAAUCUAGCUGUGAUGAGGAAGAGGGAGCUAGCUUACAAGUAAAAUGGUGAAGAAUGAUGUGGAAUGUGAGUAUUAGUAGCACAUCAUCUGCCAGUGGAAAAUUUAAUUGUGCCCUUUAUGGCCUUGUUUAA